GACCUGGUGGUGAAAGGAAUCAUGCCUGUUUGCCUUAUCGGAUUGGUGGUUGUUGUAUUUGCGGGAGGUCCCUGGUUUGAAUCUGGGCCAGGUCA